UGGAGAUCUGCUUAUUCUGGGAUUGAUCUAAAGACAUGUUUACAUUUGCUUGGUUCUGGUUUUGGAAUUGUGCAUGAUGCGCUGGACAAAAUGGAUUAGUUUGGUUACUCUUCUGGUUGUUUCAAGACUGUUAUGUAGCAUAGUGUCUCCUGUCAAUGCAUAUUAGUUGAUGUUUUAAAUCCAUGAUCAGACUUCCAAUAAUGCAACCUCGAUAAUCUCCUAUCUUACUAUGGAUACAUGAGCAAAUGCUGGUAGAUUGUAGUUUAUGAUAAGAACUGUGUUAACUUGCAUGGUCUGUUUGGGAGGCAGUCUGGCACCACCGCUGGUUACUCCUACCAUGCAGCAAACAAGAACAAGGCUGUGGACUGGGAGGAGAGCACUCCUAUUGACUACUUGCUUAACCCUAAUUAAGAGGUUAUGUUUAGUGAUCACUUAGUUCAUUAAGAAGUUACAUUUGCUGUGAUGUUUUACUAUGGAAUGCUUGCGAUACGAACUUCUGUUAUCCACUCUGUGAUCUCAUAUGUUGGGAUGUACUCCUGUGUGAGGGUGACGUUAGGAAGUAUUCUCUAACUGUGAUCUGUAUUCUUGUUUGAUGAUGACAAUUAUUCUUGAGCUGUGAUUUAUACUUGCUUUAAAAACUGCAUAGAAGCUCAGGGAACCGUGUGAGUUAGUACAUUGUGGUGUUAAUAUUUGUUUGACUGCCCAGUUGAGCCUCUGGUACCUUCGAGAAUUGUAUUACGUAUGAUAGUCUGUGUUACUACUGUAUGCAUGUUGUGGGGUUUGAUAUGAGACAAUAUUAUGUCGUUUGCUAAGUAAUUGGAAGAAGUUAAGAGUAGCUAUCAACAGAUUACAUAUGUUAUUGGUGUCUAUUUAAACUGUGUUAAUAUUUUGGUUACUAUCAUACUCCACUAUCCGAACAACACCUCACAGUUGGUAUUUGUUAGUUAUGUCCAGGCAAUUCCAAUACAAAUCUGAAGCUAGUCCUGAUAUAUUAUCUGAUAUCCUUCAAUCCACGUCGGGAUUGUUGGUUAUAUAUUUUCCUCGGUGAUAAUUUGUAUGCUGUACUAGUGUUCUCUAUGUAGACGGCAGUUUCUGACCUAUUCAGAGCUUUCAAGUUUGUUUACGUUUUGUAUGUAGUCCUUUACUCAUUCUGGCUGCUGCCCCCUUAAAGUGGUUUUGCCUUCUGUAAUUAGCAUAGAUCUUCUAGCAUGUCCUUCACGUUGCCCUUCUAUUAAAUGAUAUCUUCUUUAACACAAACCUUGUUAGUUCCCAUGCAGUACAUUCCUGGAACCAAGAUAGUCUUCCCUGGCCUGAAGAAGCUACAUGACCGUGCUGAUCUCAUUGCGUUCCUGAAGCUAGCCACCUCCUCUUAAAAGGACUUGCUGCUAUAAUCCUGUCGUGAUGAGAGAAUUUAUUUUACAGUUAAUAAAAUGAUUAGACAUUAAUAGCCACUGUUUUUUAACAGGGUGCAGUCCACGAGAUAUUUAAUUCUGUAUGCAUUGGGUAGCAGCUUGAGCUUAAAAGGUGAGGAUGGAAGUUUGCAUUGUGUUCUAGCGUAAGAGGGGGAGGACAAAAUAUGGAAGACUUCUACGACAUUAAAUCAUCUAAAAUAGAUGUUAAACAGGUGAAUCCUAUAAGGAGACUGGCACAGAUUUCUCGGCUGCUGAAAUCACUAUUUGCAGAGAGGAUGGAUCAACUGCGUCAACAGCAAUUUUGGUUGGCAACCAUCUCUAUGUGGCAAAUGUUGUUGAUUCACGGGCUGUAAUAUCAAAGGCAGGCAAAGGUGUGGUUUUUCAUAACUUUUAUCACUGUUAGUGUUAUAUA